rnacentral:rRNA from 1 species
CCUACGGGAGGCUGCAGUGGGGAAUCUUGCGCAAUGGGCGAAAGCCUGACGCAGCAACGCCGCGUGGGGGAUGAAGGCUCUCGGGUUGUAAACCCCUUUCAGCAGGGACGAAAACUGACGGUACCUGCAGAAGAAGCCCCGGCCAACUACGUGCCAGCAGCCGCGGUAAUACGUAGGGGGCAAGCGUUGUCCGGAUUUAUUGGGCGUAAAGAGCUCGUAGGCGGCUCGGUAAGUCGGAUGUGAAACCUCCAGGCUCAACCUGGAGACGCCAUCUGAUACUGCCGUGGCUCGAGGCCGGUAGAGGAGCAGGGAAUUCCUGGUGCAGCGGUGAAAUGCGCAGAUAUCAGGAGGAACACCAGCGGCGAAGGCGCUGCUCUGGGCCGGUACUGACGCUGAGGAGCGAAAGCCAGGGGAGCAAACGGGAUUAGAUACCCUGGUAGUC